rnacentral:tRNA from 2 species
GGUGAGAUGUCCGAGAGGAUUAAGGAGCAUGAUUGGAAAUCAUGUAUACAUGAAAUCCGUGUAUCAAGGGUUCGAAUCCCUUUCUCACCG